rnacentral:rRNA from 1 species
ACAUCCAGAGAAUUUAGCAGAGAUGCUUUAGUGCCUUCGGGAACUCUGAGACAGGUGCUGCAUGGCUGUCGUCAGCUCGUGUUGUGAAAUGUUGGGUUAAGUCCCGNAACGAGCGCAACCCUUAUCCUUUGUUGCCAGCACGUAAUGGUGGGAACUCAAAGGAGACUGCCGGUGAUAAACCGGAGGAAGGUGGGGAUGACGUCAAGCCAUCAUGGCCCUUACGAGUAGGGCUACACACGUGCUACAAUGGCGCAUACAAAGAGAAGCGACCUCGCGAGAGCAAGCGGACCUCAUAAAGUGCGUCGUAGUCCGGAUUGGAGUCUGCAACUCGACUCCAUGAAGUCGGAAUCGCUAGUAAUCGUAAAUCAGAAUGUUACGGUGAAUACGUUCCCGGGCCUUGUACACACCGCCCGUCACACCAUGGGAGUGGGUUGCAAAAGAAGUAGAUAGCUUAACCUUCGGGAGGGCGUUUACCACUUUGUGAUUCAUGACUGGGGUGAAGUCGUAACAAGGUAAGCGUAGUGCU